GACGAACUGCCCAAACGUUGUUCGGAAUCACUGGGCUUAAAGGGCGCGUAGGCGGCAGAUCAAGUCAGGGGUGAAAUCCGGCAGCUCAACUGUCGAAGUGCCUUUGAUACUGAUUUGCUCGAGGGAUAUAGGGGUCUGGUGGAACUUCUGGUGGAGCGGUGAAAUGCGUUGAUAUCAGAAGGAACGCCGGUGGCGAAAGCGACGGACUGGAUAUCUUCUGACGCUGAGGCGCGAAAGCUAGGGGGAGCAAACGGG
rnacentral:rRNA from 1 species